AAAUAGACGAAUAAACACAGACUAGACAACUUAUAUAAAGUGCGCUUAAGGAAAUCUCCAGCAUUAGGAAUUAUACGUGAUACAAUCAUGGUGUCUGCCAAGAUAAUCUCUUUGUUCGUUUUCGUAACAAUCAUUUCCAUGACCUUUGGAGCGGCAGCCGACGGGUGCUCUGCCGAUGAAGUUCACGACGCUUGCAGCGCCCACUGCGAGCCCACUUGUGAGUCACACGAGGCCAACCGGUUCUGCACCGCCAACUGCCUGCCUGGCUGCAAGUGUCGCGAAGGACUGCUCAGGAGGAAGGACAGACAAUGCGUUCAGCUCGAACAAUGCUAAAUAAUUAUGAGUUCGCCCACGCCUAGCUACGCCACUGAGUAUUUAACUAUAGCUAAAUAAAUAUAUGCCUGUUAUGACAAUUAAAAUCAUGUUUAGUAUAAACUGUGUGAUUUUUCUUUGUAUUAUAUUGCCUAA